AUUGAACGCUGGCGGCAUGCUUUACACAUGCAAGUCGAACGGCAGCGCGGGCUUCGGCCUGGCGGCGAGCGGCGAACGGGUGAGUAAUACAUCGGAACGUGCCCAGUAGUGGGGGAUAGCUCGGCGAAAGCCGGAUUAAUACCGCAUACGACCUGAGGGUGAAAGCGGGGGAUCUUCGGACCUCGCGCUAUUGGAGCGGCCGAUGGCGGAUUAGCUAGUCGGUGGGGUAAAGGCCUACCAAGGCGACGAUCCGUAGCUGGUCUGAGAGGACGACCAGCCACACUGGGACUGGGACACGGCCCAUACGCCUACGGGAGGCACCAGUGGGGAAUGUUAGACAAUGGGCGAAAACCUUGUCCAGCAAUGCCGCGUGUGUGAUGAAGGCCUUCGGGUUGUAAAGCACUUUUGGCGGGAACGAAAAGGACUGUGCCAAUACCACGGUUCGAUGACGGUACCCGCAGAAUAAGCACCGGCUAACUACGUG
rnacentral:rRNA from 1 species